UACGUAGGGUGCAAGCGUUAAUCGGAAUUACUGGGCGUAAAGCGUGCGCAGGCGGUUUUGUAAGUUUUGUCGUGAAAUCCCCCGGGCUUAACCUGGGAACUGCGCUUGUAACUGGCAAGCUUGAGUGUGGCAGAGGGGGGUGGAAUUCCACGUGUAGCAGUGAAAUGCGUAGAGAUGUGGAGGAACACCGAUGGCGAAGGCAGCCCCCUGGGCUAACACUGACGCUCAUGCACGAAAGCGUGGGGAGCAAACAGG
rnacentral:rRNA from 1 species